AGGUGAUUGCAAAUGAUCUUGACUUGUAGGAUAAAACAUUAAGAUGUAUCAAACUACUUUUGUGUUAUGUCAGAAUGAAUUUAUUUAUGUUUUGAUAAAUGGAAAAAUUGUGUCCCGCUUUUGGCAUGUACGAUAGGACUACAAGUGUUCGUGGCUUGCAGCUGUUGAGUACCUAGCCUUGCCUUACCAGCGUCCCGCUGAAAGCAGAUCUCGAGCUUAGGAGGGGUGAACUCAAGGUUUGCCUAGGCUUCGUUAGCUGGAGGCCGACUGCAUGUGUUAGUCGUAAAGCAUCAAGAAUGGGAGGAAGGGAGAGUUGAUGACCAAGAGGUUAGUGAGGGGAAGCCUCUGAGUUUGAGAGCACACAGGCUGUUGAGCAGAUCGAGAAGCCCCCGAGUGUGUAGUGUAGCUUAGAGAUGAAAAAGCAUUACGGCAGUAGGUACGCAGAAAAGAAGAGAUUGCAGGGUACUGAUUUAUUCAAUAUGAAAGAAACAAACAGAGUACAUAGCUGUACAUGUUAAGGGUAGAAUCAUUGCAGAUGUUCUUUCCAUGGAUUUGGGACACUAGAUCCAUCUGCCCAUUGGAGUCGGUAUGUGCCGGGUUGGAUGACCUCUUUGAUAAUGAAGGGGCCCACCCAAGGGGCGGCCAAUUUGUGCAUGUUCCUAGUUGAUUGUACUCGGUGAAGCACCAAAUCGCCAAUGUUGAAGGACCGUUCCAUGACGUUGCAGUCAUGAUAACGCUGUAUCUGCUGCUCAUGGCGCGCAUGCUGCAGCAGAGGUGCCGCGUGAUGCUCUUCAAGACUGUCUAUGGCAAGUUCUGUCUAUGUCAAGUUGCUGAAUUCUUUCUACCUUGCCUUCUUCAUAGUACUGGAUGCAUGGAACACCAAAGGCCACAUCCGAUGGUAGGAUAGCUUUUGAUUCAUAUACCAUGAAGAAGGGGG
rnacentral:lncRNA from 1 species